rnacentral:ncRNA from 1 species
UCCGCGCAAACGAUUAAAUGCUGUAUAUGUCUGAUGAGAUGGAUUGGACGUUUCUACCGCUGAGCCUAUCUCGGUGACUACAGUUGCUUUGCCCUUUUCU